GGGUUGUGAGGUUAAGCGACUAAGCGUACACGGUGGAUGCCCUGGCAGUCAGAGGCGAUGAAGGACGUGCUAAUCUGCGAAAAGCGUCGGUAAGGUGAUAUGAACCGUUAUAACCGGCGAUGUCCGAAUGGGGAAACCCAGUGCAAUUCGUUGCACUAUCGUUAACUGAAUACAUAGGUUAACGAGGCGAACCGGGGGAACUGAAACAUCUAAGUACCCCGAGGAAAAGAAAUCAACCGAGAUUCCCCCAGUAGCGGCGAGCGAACGGGGAGCAGCCCAGAGUCUGAAUCAGCUUGUGUGUUAGUGGAACGGUCUGGAAAGUCCGACGGUACAGGGUGAUAGUCCCGUACACCAAAAUGCACAGGCUGUGAACUCGAAGAGUAGGGCGGGACACGUGGUAUCCUGUCUGAAUAUGGGGGGACCAUCCUCCAAGGCUAAAUACUCCUGACUGACCGAUAGUGAACCAGUACCGUGAGGGAAAGGCGAAAAGAACCCCGGCGAGGGGAGUGAAAAAGAACCUGAAACCGUGUACGUACAAGCAGUGGGAGCACCUUCGGGUGUGACUGCGUACCUUUUGUAUAAUGGGUCAGCGACUUAUAUUCUGUAGCAAGGUUAACCGUAUAGGGGAGCCGCAGGGAAACCGAGUCUUAACUGGGCGUUAAGUUGCAGGGUAUAGACCCGAAACCCGGUGAUCUAGCCAUGGGCAGGUUGAAGGUUGGGUAACACUAACUGGAGGACCGAACCGACUAAUGUUGAAAAAUUAGCGGAUGACUUGUGGCUGGGGGUGAAAGGCCAAUCAAACCGGGAGAUAGCUGGUUCUCCCCGAAAGCUAUUUAGGUAGCGCCUCGUGAACUCAUCUUCGGGGGUAGAGCACUGUUUCGGCUAGGGGGUCAUCCCGACUUACCAACCCGAUGCAAACUACGAAUACCGAAGAAUGUUAUCACGGGAGACACACGGCGGGUGCUAACGUCCGUCGUGAAGAGGGAAACAACCCAGACCGCCAGCUAAGGUCCCAAAGUCAUGGUUAAGUGGGAAACGAUGUGGGAAGGCACAGACAGCCAGGAUGUUGGCUUAGAAGCAGCCAUCAUUUAAAGAAAGCGUAAUAGCUCACUGGUCGAGUCGGCCUGCGCGGAAGAUGUAACGGGGCUAAACCAUGCACCGAAGCUGCGGCAGCGACACUAUGUGUUGUUGGGUAGGGGAGCGUUCUGUAAGCCUGCGAAGGUGUGCUGUGAGGCAUGCUGGAGGUAUCAGAAGUGCGAAUGCUGACAUAAGUAACGAUAAAGCGGGUGAAAAGCCCGCUCGCCGGAAGACCAAGGGUUCCUGUCCAACGUUAAUCGGGGCAGGGUGAGUCGACCCCUAAGGCGAGGCCGAAAGGCGUAGUCGAUGGGAAACAGGUUAAUAUUCCUGUACUUGGUGUUACUGCGAAGGGGGGACGGAGAAGGCUAUGUUAGCCGGGCGACGGUUGUCCCGGUUUAAGCAUGUAGGCUGGUUAUCCAGGCAAAUCCGGAUAAUCAAGGCUGAGGUGUGAUGACGAGGCACUACGGUGCUGAAGUAACAAAUGCCCUGCUUCCAGGAAAAGCCUCUAAGCAUCAGGUAACAUCAAAUCGUACCCCAAACCGACACAGGUGGUCAGGUAGAGAAUACCAAGGCGCUUGAGAGAACUCGGGUGAAGGAACUAGGCAAAAUGGUGCCGUAACUUCGGGAGAAGGCACGCUGGUGUGUAGGUGAAGUCCCUGCGGAUGGAGCUGAGACCAGUCGAAGAUACCAGCUGGCUGCAACUGUUUAUUAAAAACACAGCACUGUGCAAACACGAAAGUGGACGUAUACGGUGUGACGCCUGCCCGGUGCCGGAAGGUUAAUUGAUGGGGUUAUCCGUAAGGAGAAGCUCUUGAUCGAAGCCCCGGUAAACGGCGGCCGUAACUAUAACGGUCCUAAGGUAGCGAAAUUCCUUGUCGGGUAAGUUCCGACCUGCACGAAUGGCGUAAUGAUGGCCAGGCUGUCUCCACCCGAGACUCAGUGAAAUUGAACUCGCUGUGAAGAUGCAGUGUACCCGCGGCAAGACGGAAAGACCCCGUGAACCUUUACUAUAGCUUGACACUGAACAUUGAGCCUUGAUGUGUAGGAUAGGUGGGAGGCUUUGAAGCGUGGACGCCAGUCUGCGUGGAGCCAACCUUGAAAUACCACCCUUUAAUGUUUGAUGUUCUAACGUUGGCCCCUGACCGGGGUUGCGGACAGUGUCUGGUGGGUAGUUUGACUGGGGCGGUCUCCUCCCAAAGCGUAACGGAGGAGCACGAAGGUUAGCUAAUCCUGGUCGGACAUCAGGAGGUUAGUGCAAUGGCAUAAGCUAGCUUGACUGCGAGCGUGACGGCGCGAGCAGGUGCGAAAGCAGGUCAUAGUGAUCCGGUGGUUCUGAAUGGAAGGGCCAUCGCUCAACGGAUAAAAGGUACUCCGGGGAUAACAGGCUGAUACCGCCCAAGAGUUCAUAUCGACGGCGGUGUUUGGCACCUCGAUGUCGGCUCAUCACAUCCUGGGGCUGAAGUAGGUCCCAAGGGUAUGGCUGUUCGCCAUUUAAAGUGGUACGCGAGCUGGGUUUAGAACGUCGUGAGACAGUUCGGUCCCUAUCUGCCGUGGGCGCUGGAGAAUUGAGGGGGGCUGCUCCUAGUACGAGAGGACCGGAGUGGACGCAUCACUGGUGUUCGGGUUGUCAUGCCAAUGGCACUGCCCGGUAGCUAAAUGCGGAAGAGAUAAGUGCUGAAAGCAUCUAAGCACGAAACUUGCCCCGAGAUGAGUUCUCCCUGAGACUAUAAGUCUCCUGAAGGAACGUUGAAGACGACGACGUUGAUAGGCCGGGUGUGUAAGCGCAGCGAUGCGUUGAGCUAACCGGUACUAAUGAACCGUGAGGCUUAACCUUACAACGCCGAAG
rnacentral:rRNA from 2 species